rnacentral:rRNA from 1 species
UCAGCGGCGGACGGGUGAGUAACACGUGGGUAACCUGCCUGUAAGACUGGGAUAACUCCGGGAAACCGGGGCUAAUACCGGAUAACUCAUUUCCUCGCAUGAGGAAAUGUUGAAAGGUGGCUUUUGCCAUCCCUUUCGGAUGGACCCGCGGCGGAUUUACUUGGUGGGGAAGGUACCGCUCCCCAAGGGCCCCAUGCGGUCCCCAACUGGGAGGGUGGUCGGCCCAACUGGGACUGAAACCCGGGCCAAAAUCCUACCGGAGGCAGGAAAUAGGAAUCCUCCCCCAUGGACCAAAGGCUGACCGAACAACCGCCCGAGGGUGGUGAAGGGUUUCCGAACCGAAAUCUUUGGUGAUAAGGGAAAACAAGUGGCCUUCCAAUAUGGGGGGCCCUUGGCGGUACCUAACCAGAAAGUCACGGCUUACCACCUGCCAAGAACCGCCGUAAUACGUAAGUGGUAAGCGUUGGUCCGGAUUAUUGGGCGUAAAAAGGCGGGCAAGUUGUUUCCUAAGUGUCUAUGUGCGAGCCCACCGUGUCCACCGGGGUCUGGU